GGUGGAGUGGCCGAGUGGCUAGGCGACGGCUCGCAAGGCCGUGUACGUGGGUUCGAAUCCUAUCUCCACCU
rnacentral:tRNA from 1 species